CACACCUUUAAUCCCAGGGACUCAGGAGAAAGGCAGAUGGAUCUCUGUAUGUCCAAGAGCACCCUGGGUUAACGGUGGGAAGAUCAUUGGAAGACAAGGUUGCUUCUCCACCAUGCCCCACCGAGAUGUGUCCUAGGGACAGUGGAUGGUGGACCGCCUAAAGGAGCUGGACAGGUUACAUACACUUGGGCACCGGAAAAAGCAGUCGUCAUGAUCUCAGCGCCACUGGAGGGCAGCACCAGCACAGACCUGAGGCUGCAGGCGAAGAGCCGAGAUUGUCUGGUCCCAGGCAUCAUGCUUGUGGCCAUACAAGGAUGAAGAGAACCCUCAGGAUGGUGACUAAAGGCUCUCCUGGAUUUCCUGUUUCAGACCAUAAUUCCCCGCUGUCCAGCAGUGGCAAGUCACCAGUCCCAAAGUCAGGCCUGAAGGAAGCUUGAGGUGUGUUUGCCCCGACUGCCACUUUGAGAAGAUUUACCCAGCUGGCCAUGGCAGCUUCCUCUGGGGGUUCCAGGAUGGAGAGCUCAAUGAAUCCAACUGAAGCCUGGAGUCCAACAUAACUCCAUAUUUGAGUAUGGAAAAAAGAUUGUAGCAAACGACUGAGCUUUCUGGAAAUGCUUGUUACACAUCAUUGCCGUGACAGAAGUAGACAGGUAAAAAACUGUGUUCUUCCCAUGGAAGUGGCUAAACUUUAUUUGGACUUUUAGAUCUCUAGGUAGAAAAGCAAGCUGCCCAAGAGUGAAGGCAACAGAGAAACAGAGCUGAGAUGCAGCGAUGAGCCUAAGCCUGUUGAUGGCCUUUGUUUCUGUGCAUCCAGCUUUAGCUGAGUCAGGUGGGGCUCUUUGAGUCUCAGGGAGCAGAAAGCAGAAACCUUGCUUUCUCAAACCAGAAAACUCAAAAAAAAUCCCAGAAAUGAUGAGAGUUUCAGCUGAGACUUGAUCUAGAAGCUCAGUGUCUUUCCUCUAGGUUUAAAACUAUUUAAAUCAACAGAUCCUAUGAAAAAAAUCAACUCAUCCUAUGACAUUUGUUUUACAUUUUAAAAGAUGGUAUUCUUACAAUCUGUUGGGCACUGCUGUUGACCAGUACGAGACUAAGCAGUCAGUGUUUCCCCAAGGUUCAUGUCCCUCUACAACCUCAGCAUGUAACUGGGUCUGGAAAAGGAAUGUGGAUCUUCUCAGGUAUAAUUAAGGUGUGGUCAGACCGCAUAGAGUGGGACCUGAUGACCAGUGUCUUUGCAAGAAGACCUCUGAACACACAGGCACACGCUCAGAGACCCCUGUGACAAUGGCAACAGAGAUCUAAGUGGUGCAUUUACAAACUAAGAAACACUGAGUGUUUCCAGUAGCCCGCAGAUGAUGGGGAGAGGCACUGACCAGUUCCUCUGGGAACCUGCAACGAAGAAGCUCCUCACCUGGAUAUCACUCUUCUGGCUUCCAGACUGUGCAAGAAUAUACUUCAUUUGUCUCCAGCACUGCAACAAAGAAGCUCCUCACCUGGAUAUCACUCUUCUGGCUUCCAGACUGUGAAAGAAUAUACUUCAUUUGUCUCCAGCACUCCAAAUUGUUUUACCCAUAGAUUUGCUUUCCAAGGUUCAGUUAUCUAUAGCCAAAUGCAACCCAAAAACACCAAGUGAAAUAUCCUAGAAAUACUCAAUCCAUAGGUUUCAAACAUUCUAAGUAGCAAUAUGAAAGCUCACAUUGCCCUACACUCUCCUACCUAAGAUGUGAAUUAAUCUUUGUCCAGUAUAUCCACACUGUAUACACUACCCACCCAUUAGUUACAUAGCCGUUUCCAUCAUGAGAUUGAUUAUCAUAGUAUCACAGGGCCUAUGCUGUGUUCAGUGUGUUCAUACUAUAUACUACUUGCCCAUUAGUUACUUAGCCAGCUCUGUUAUUAAAUUGAUUGUCAUAGUAAGGUUUAUGUUUUGUGCACCACAUUGACACUGCAUAUAUUAUCCUCCUGUUAGUCACUUUGCUAUCUCUCUGAUCAGAUUGACUAUAAGUAUUAUAGGGCUUAUGUUUUGCUCAAUGUACCCACACUGUAUACACUGCCAUUCUGUAAGUCAUUUAUUGUCUCUUAUCAAAUAAACCAUUAUAGCAUCACAGAGCUUAUGUUUAAAUAAUCCUUGUUUUACG